rnacentral:rRNA from 1 species
UACGGAGGGUGCAAGCGUUAUCCGGAUUUACUGGGUUUAAAGGGUGCGUAGGUGGGUUGGUGAGUCAGUGGUGAAAUACUUUCGCUUAACGAAGGAACUGCCAUUGAUACUACCAGCCUUGAAUACAGUGGAGGUGGGCGGAAUGCGUCAUGUAGCGGUGAAAUGCUUAGAUAUGACGCAGAACACCAAUUGCGAAGGCAGCUUGCUACGCUGUUAUUGACACUGAGGCACGAAAGCGUGGGGAGCAAACGGG